UAUCCUCAUCAAAAUCAUCAUGUAUUGUUUCGUUGCAAUAAACGUCUUGAACGAAUGACGUCACAGGAAACCCGGGACGAUGCCCCACCGUCAAGCGGCCCUAUUGCCCUCAGAUACACAUAUCCGUUCGCUCCUGCCGCUUCGACACCCACUGCGAAAAGCACGAGAAAUGCUGCGGAGAACCUUGCCUGACCCACAAGGUGUGCAAACCUGCCAUUCAGGGGCCGCGCGCUGGGUGACGUCACUGCUGCUGCUGCGGGAGGCAGGAGAAGGAAGCCUACCGGCGACCCUAUUUACUAUACAGAUACAUAUACGUAGACAUACAUACAAAUAUAUAUACAUGCAUACACUGGACUUGAUUAAUAAAGUGUUAUAUACUUCA